rnacentral:rRNA from 1 species
UACGGAGGGUGCAAGCGUUAUCCGGAUUUACUGGGCUUAAAGGGUGCGUAGGUGGAUAAUUAAGUCAGUGGUGAAAUCUUCAGGCUUAACCUGGAAACUGCCAUUGAUACUAUUUAUCUUGAAUACUUUGGAGGUAAGCGGAAUAUGUCAUGUAGCGGUGAAAUGCUUAGAUAUGACAUAGAACACCAAUUGCGAAGGCAGCUUACUACACAGUAAUUGACACUGAGGCACGAAAGCGUGGGGAUCAAACAGG